GCACUGGAGGUUCAGUGGAGGAAUUCCUGCCUUCCAUGUGCGAGACCCAGGUUCAAUUCCCAGCCAGUGCA
rnacentral:tRNA from 1 species